CGGUAAUUCCAGCUCCAAUAGCGUAUACUAAAGUUGUUGCAGUUAAAAAGCUCGUAGUUGGAUUUCUGCGGGGACGGAGCGGCCGGACGCAACUUGCGUCUCGAGCUAGCGCUUUCCCCGCAUCCUGCCGCGAACCGUGCUACCAUUAGUUUGGUGGCGCUGGGGAUCGGCUCGAUUACUUUGAGAAAAAUAGAGUGUUCAAAGCAGGCCACACGCCUUGAAUAAGUUAGCAUGGAAUAAUGACUAAGGACUUCGGUUCUAUUUUGUUGGUGUUUGGGACUGAAGUAAUGAUUGAUAGGGACAGUUGGGGCGGUCUGUAUUCCAAAGCGAGAGGUGAAAUUCUUAGACCUUCGGAAGACAAACAGCUGCGAAAGCGUUCCGCAAGGAUGUUCCCUUUGAUCAAGAACGAAAGUUGGGGGAUCGAAGACGAUCAGAUACCGUCGUAGUCUCAACUAUAAACUAUACCAGCUAGGGAUCGGCCAACGUUUAAUUAUUCGACUUGGUCGGCACCUUAUGAGAAAUCAAAGCAUCUGGGUUCCGGGGGGAGUAUGGUCGCAAGGCUGAAACUUAAAGGAAUUGACGGAAGGGCACCACCAGCCGUGGAGCCUGUGGCUUAAUUUGACUCAACACGGGAAAACUUACCAGGUCCAGACAUAGGAAGGAUUGACAGAUUGAUAGCUCUUUCUUGAUUCUGUGGGUGGUGGUGCAUGGCCGUUUUUAGUUGGUGGAGUGAUUUGUCUGCUUAAUUGCGUUAACGAACGAGACCCCAGCCUGCUAAAUAGCGCGGCCGAGCUUUGCUCGGUGCGAGCUUCUUAGAGGGACCAUGAUGCGCGAUAGCACAAGGAAGUUUGGGGCAACAACAGGUCUGUGAUGCCCUUAGAUGUUCUGGGCCGCACACGGGCUACACUGGCGCCUGCAACGAGCAUAUCAGCUGGCCUGAGAGGGUCUUGGCUAAUCUUUUGAACCGGCGCCGUGCUUGGGAUUGACCAUUGCAAUUGUUGGUCAUGCAACGAGGAAUGCCUUGUAAACGCGAGUCAUCAGCUCGCGUUGAAUACGUCCCUGCCCUUUGUACACACCGCCCGUCGCUCCUACCGAUGAAUGUUCCGAUGAAAUUUUCGGAGAGCGCCAGAGAACGGGGCUCUGCCUUGCAGAUCUGGAGGCUCAAAGUCACUUAAAUCUGAACAUUUCGAGGAAGGAGAAGUCGUAACAAGGUAGCCG
rnacentral:rRNA from 1 species